rnacentral:rRNA from 1 species
CACGUAUUUAGCCGUCACUUCUUCUGUUGGUACCGUCAUUUCUUUCUUCCCAACUGAAAGCACUUUACAUUCCGAAAACUUCAUCGUGCACACAGAAUUGCUGGAUCAGACUCUCGGUCCAUUGUCCAAUAUUCCCCACUGCUGCCUCCCGUAGGAGUAAGGGCCGUGUCUCAGUCCCCUUGUGGCCGUUCACCCUCUCAGGCCGGCUACCCAUCAUCGCCUUGGUGAGCUGUUACCUCUCCAACUAGCUAAUGGGACGCAAAGCUCUCUCACAGUGCUUAUAGCUUUCAUAAUUCUAAGAUGCCUUAAAAUCAUAAUAUCAGGUAUUAGCAUUCAUUUCUAAAUGUUGUCCCUAGCUGUGAGGCAAGUUCUUACGCGUUACUCACCCGUCCGCCACCCAAAUCUAAGUUAAAACCCAAAUUACAAGUUGACUUGCAUGUGUUAAGCAUUCUGUCAGCGUUCAUCCUGAGCCAGGAUCAAACUCU